AGUAAAUACAGUUACGUAAACUAAUUAGAACGAAACCCAUGCUAGUGAUUAAUGCUAAUAUGUGCUAUCACGGGAAUUGUUUACACCAGGACAUCUACUACAUGGGUUAGAACUUCAACGCAACUAGAACAUAUUAAAGCUACUUAUAACCAUAAUUAGAUCUACAGUAAAUUCCCAAAUUAAUACCCGUGAAGGCGUGAUAGGAUCCUAACAUUUCCUAAGGUCACCAAAAUUGUAAGUUUGCGAGGAAUAUUGAAGAGAAAAGAUAUAAUAAAUUGUUUAUUUUAGCUUAAAGCUUACCGCACAACAAAAUCGGUUUGCUCACUGGAGUUGGAAACUUACCCAC